UUUAAUGUAGCCUGGUUUCUUGGGCUCCCGGCGUAUCCUUGCGUUCCUUCUGCACUGGAACAAGACACCACUGCACUAUUGGACUACGGCAAGCUGAUGCCGUCCGGUGGAGCUUCAUACGGGAACUACUGCUUACCUGGGGUCACAACGUUGGAUGAACGCACAAAAAGCGCGGAAAGAGCUUUUAUAUAGAGCAAAAUAAAUAUUUCCUCAUUUCACAAGGGGCGUCUACUUUGUGAAAUUGCACGUGGCACAGAUUCGAUGGGACUUGACAAGAUCGUUCGCAAUCAUUUUUACCAAAUAAUAAACCGAUUCCGCACGAAGACCGUGCGCGGUCGAGCAAAAAAAGAA